GCUCGGGAGCCAGGAUUUCAAUGUCCCUGAUGGCACCAACUCGCAGGAGAGAGACUCCUCUCCUGGCUGGUUUUCUGAACACAAAGAACAAAGUACAAGCUCUCAGGUCUCAAAAAACUGGAAGGGAGAACAGGCCAGCUUCUCUGCGCGGCAGGAAUAGCCUGCCAUAAAGAGACCUGCCCCGGCACACGCUUCCAACUUGAAAAGGGUGUGGCGAAGUCUAAACACCUACUGGGGCCAAACAGGGAGGAUGAAAACACAAGACCAGCGUGGGAGCAUCCUUGAGAACCCUCGUCCAGGCUGCAGCCAGCUGAUGUCUUGUAUCUCCACUGGGAUCUCCGGGAGCCCAGGCGAGCCUCCAACCCUCUCUGUACCUGAAGAUGACCUAGAACUGCUGGCCCUCCACCUCUCCCUCCUGAGUGCUGCGGCUACAAGUGUGCCACAGCUCUUUCGGAUGUGGUUCCAAACACAGAGUGAAGAUGGAAAUCUUCUCUUCAUGGGGCAGACGUUUAAGGCCAAAGCGGCAGGCAGCACCAACAUGAAUAUGACACACAAGAUGGUAUUCCAAAGCUCAUUCAGACAUGACAUUUCCACAGGACUCCGUUUGACCAUACAAUCCCUGCUCUUGAUCUAAUAAGACAUUCUGAACCAAGAAAGAAGCCCAUCUUUGGCGUCACCUGAAAAAUCAAAAAGACCUAACAGAACAAUAAAGCCUGCGAGGAGGGGAAGAGCACCGUCUCGUGAGCCACGUUAAACUUUUGGACUAGAAAAUGCUGCCUUGAACUGCUGAGAACGAACCCAGCACAGUUUGAGGCUGUACCCGAGAAGCCUCCGCAGUGAUCAUUUGGGAGCUCCUGAGACAAGCUGAGGAUGCGGUCAAAUGCCACAGUAAGCACUGAGAGACCUGGGUAGUUGGCAUUUUGAGUCACUGUGGGUCGGGCACACAACCCACCGCAGCCUACAUCCCUGUUUCAAAAUGGAAUUAAAAUGACAUUCCACAAACCAGAGUGUCCUGGCCAGUCAUACCAGAGAAAACACCGCC